rnacentral:rRNA from 1 species
AUUGAACGCAGGCGGCAGGCCUAACACAUGCAAGUCGAACGGUAGCACAGAGGAGCUUGCUCCUUGGGUGACGAGUGGCGGACGGGUGAGUAAUGUCUGGGAAACUGCCCGAUGGAGGGGGAUAACUACUGGAAACGGUAGCUAAUACCGCAUAACGUCUUCGGACCAAAGUGGGGGACCUUCGGGCCUCACACCAUCGGAUGUGCCCAGAUGGGAUUAGCUAGUAGGUGGGGUAAUGGCUCACCUAGGCGACGAUCCCUAGCUGGUCUGAGAGGAUGACCAGCCACACUGGAACUGAGACACGGUCCAGACUCCUACGGGAGGCAGCAGUGGGGAAUAUUGCACAAUGGGCGCAAGCCUAAUGCAGCCAUGCCGCGUGUAUGAAGAAGGCCUUCGGGUUGUAAAGUACUUUCAGCGGGGAGGGAGGCGUUAAGGUUAAUAACCUUGGCGAUUGACGUUACCCGCAGAAGAAGCACCGGCUAACUCCGUGCCAGCAGCCGCAGUAA